rnacentral:rRNA from 1 species
UACGGGGGGAGCAAGCGUUGUUCGGAUUACUGGGCGUAAAGGGCGCGUAGGCGGUCAGCACAAGUCAGUUGUGAAAUCUCCGGGCUUAACUCGGAAAGGUCAACUGAUACUGUGCGACUAGAGUGCGGAAGGGGCAACUGGAAUUCUCGGUGUAGUCGGUGAAAUGCGUAGAUAUCGAGAGGAACACCUGCGGCGAAGGCGGUGCUGGCCGACACUGACGCUGAUGCGC